AACGGCCGUACCAUGCUGAAUAUACCGGUUCUCGUUAGAUCACCGAAGUCAAGCAUCAUUGGGCGCGGCCAGUACUUGGGAGGGUGACCACCUG
rnacentral:rRNA from 1 species